CAAAGAGUAGUUUAACUAGAAUACUAGCUUUGGGAGUUAGUGGCAGGGGUUAGAAUCCCUUCUUUUUGA
rnacentral:tRNA from 1 species